AUUGAACGCUGGCGGCAGGCCUAACACAUGCAAGUCGAACGGUAACAGGAAGCAGCUUGCUGCUUUGCUGACGAGUGGCGGACGGGUGAGUAAUGUCUGGGAAACUGCCCGAUGGAGGGGGAUAACUACUGGAAACGGUAGCUAAUACCGCAUAACGUCGCAAGACCAAAGAGGGGGACCUUAGGGCCUCUUGCCAUCGGAUGUGCCCAGAUGGGAUUCGCUAGUAGGUGGGGUAACGGCUCACCUAGGCGACGAUCCCUAGCUGGUCUGAGAGGAUGACCAGCCACACUGGAACUGAGACACGGUCCAGACUCCUACGGGAGGCAGCAGUGGGGAAUAUUGCACAAUGGGCGCAAGCCUGAUGCAGCCAUGCCGCGUGUAUGAAGAAGGCCUUCGGGUUGUAAAGUACUUUCAGCGGGGAGGAAGGGAGUAAAGUUAAUACCUUUGCUCACUGACGUUACCCGCAGAAGAAGCACCGGCUAACUCCGUG
rnacentral:rRNA from 1 species